CAGCAGCCGCGGUAAUACAGAGGGUGCGAGCGUUAAUCGGAUUUACUGGGCGUAAAGCGUGCGUAGGCGGCUUUUUAAGUCGGAUGUGAAAUCCCUGAGCUUAACUUAGGAAUUGCAUUCGAUACUGGGAAGCUAGAGUAUGGGAGAGGAUGGUAGAAUUCCAGGUGUAGCGGUGAAAUGCGUAGAGAUCUGGAGGAAUACCGAUGGCGAAGGCAGCCAUCUGGCCUAAUACUGACGCUGAGGUACGAAAGCAUGGGGAGCAAACAGGAUUAGAGACCCCUGUAGUCCCUGUCUCUUAUAC
rnacentral:rRNA from 1 species